rnacentral:lncRNA from 1 species
CAGCUGAGAAAACUAAAGCCUAGAGAGGAAAGGGACCUGUCGGAGGUCACCGGCAAGCUAACCAGGGCGAGAACCCAGCUCCCCCCGCCUGCGUGCCGCUCGGGUGGUGCCCUCGGCGCCGAGCCCCCGCUGGCGCACGUGCUCCGAUGUCCCCGUGCGCCCGCCGGCCGGCUGCUCCAGGCCCGUCCCCCACCUCGGACCGAGGCGGGGAUCGAUGGCCGUGGCCCACUCCCCACGCAGCCCCGGAGCCGGCGGUUGGCAGUGCGCACCGCGGAGGAGGGCCCCGGCUGCCGGCUCCGCGCCCGCCGCUUACCUNNNNNNNNNNNNNNNNNNNNNNNNNNNNNNNNNNNNNNNNNNNNNNNNNNNNNNNNNNNNNNNNNNNNNNNNNNNNNNNNNNNNNNNNNNNNNNNNNNNNCGAGGGGCAGGAGGGGCGCCGCGGUCCGAGGCCGGGCUGGGGACGCGGCUCCACAGUGCUGUGAGCGGCCGGGAGGAUUUACCGCCGCCGCCGCCGCUGCCGCUGGUGCACCUCCCGCCCGCCCGGGACGCUGCCGCCUCCUUCCCACAAUGCACCCUGGCGCCCGGGGGUGCCCUCUCUUCUCUCAGCCUUCCUCCCCCGCCCCCUCCUUUCCGCCGACUUCUCCGCAGGCGGGCACGCACAAAGUAGCGCGCCGGCCCGGGUGUGGCGGGGUAGAGGCGAGGCCUGACUCGGGCUGCCGCAGUGCGCCUGCGCACAACCUACCCCGCGAGGAGAGGGUAAUGCGCAUGCGGCGUGUCUCCCGGGACUCUAGAGCGGGCGAGCCCCCGGCACCUUCGGGCUGGAAUGAGCCUUCCAAAGACACUGGACCAAGACCAUGCUGGAGCAUAAGGUACCAGAAGCAAUGGUGGCCCAGACAGGGUUUGGACACAGCUACUGGAAGCAGGAUAGAAAUGCCUGUCGACGUGCCAAGCCCACCUCCUCCCAUACUGGGACACGCAGCAACAUGGAUGUACAUGGAAAUAUUUGGUGUUCUACGCUGAGAAUUCCACAGCAUAUCAUGAGUCAUCCUAAUGUUGUAACUUACAAAACUAAAGUUUGCAAAUGUUAUUUUGGUGGAAUCUGGAAUCACUGUGCUUUUUAUUUAGGUCUUCAGAGUAAUUGUGUUAUGGGAUUUUAAAGUGAGAGACGAUGUAGAUAAUGCCUGUCCACAGAUGAAAUUGCUGUUAUGCUGGGGAAAUAUGUCCGCUGUUGUUGCUUUAGCAAACUGCUGACCGUUAAAAUGCCAAAUAUAUCUCCUCAGUAAAAUUUCAGACUUUCAGUUGAGUAUGUAUAUCUUCUAUAGGCAUAUAGAUUAUAGAUUUGCCAAGCUGAGAGAGUUCUUCAAGACCGAAGUAUAGGCAUUGGUCUGUAGAAAGAAUGGAAGAGUGAGACGUGGAUGUUAGUUCUGGCUCCUUAAAAGACCACGUGACUUUGGGCAAUUCGUUUUGCACCCUUGGAGCACUCUAGCUUACUCAUCUGUAAAAGGAGAAUAAUUUCACUUAUCUCAUGGACUUGUUUGUUUUGUACAUUCAACAAAUGUUUCUUGACUGCGUAUGUGUAUCUGACAUGGUUCUAGACACUGAGGAUACAGCAAUAAAGGAGACAAAGGAAUGUUCCCCCUUUUGAACAUACAUUCAAGAGCAAGAAUAAUAUAGCAUGUUAGUGAUUAUUAGAUGUGAGGCUUACAUUAAAUAACGUAGAUGGUGCCCAGCACAAGGCUUGGCAUGUAGUACUCGAUAGUGAUUUCCUUUGUUUUUUGGGGUUUGUUUGUUUGGUUUGGUUUUAGAAAGAGAGAGUACAAGUGAGGGAGUGGGAUAGAAAGAGAGAGAGAAGAAUCUCAAGCAGGCUCAGGACCAAGAGGAGGGAGUGGGAGAGUGGGUUCAACUUGGGGCUCGACCCCAUAACCCUGAAAUCAUGACCUGAGCCAAAAUCAAGAGUCAGACCCUCAGCCAACUAAGCCACCAGGCACUUCUUCCUUUGCUUCUUUAGUCUUCCUAACGGCUCUUGAAUUAUUCUACAAAAUGGUAGUAAUUGGCAAAAAGCCUGACCCAGUGCCUUCUAGCUCUUAGCAGUUAAUAAGGCCUAAACCUGUUUUUGCUUAAGAAGACAAGUAAUUCUUACAGUUUUGUUUUGUACCUCCUUUAUGGCAGAAUAAUCAAGGUGUUACCUCAACACUGUUGACAAAUGGCCUUUUCUGAAGCCAGUUAGCAGGAGUCUUGCCUCGAGCUAGAUGGCAGGUGUUGGGUCCACAAAGACAAAUGAAUGGUGUCAUUGCUGUUUAAGUAAAACAUGCAGAGAUCACAAUGGCGGUUUCUGUUAAAGUUGUGUGCCCUAUGUCCCGUUGCUAAUACUGGUGAGCUGGGCAAAGUUUGCAUUAUUUAUGGGAGACCAGGUCAUUGACAAAAAACUGGGAAAAGGCAGGCUUAAUGCCUGUGGUAUGUUUAUAUUUCUGUCCCAUUGUGGAAAAUUUGGAAGGUUCAGGAAUGUUGGAAAACAGCAGCCAAAAGUUCACCCCUUGGGGUCAGGUACUUCACUAGACCCAUUUCUCUGUUUCCUCCAGAAACAUCCAGUGAACGUCCAUUUACUGAAUUUCUUCUUCAGGGCUGGGCCUGUGCUAGGCACAGCGGGGUACGGCCCUUGCUUUUAGGCUGUGCCUGGCCUCAUGGCAGAGAGACAGGGCCAGAGGUGGAGAGACAGCUCAGAAGGGGCUCCCACCUUCCACUGCCAGUCUUUCCCAGAGGACAACUGGAAGGAACAAGCUUGUACACAGAAUUUGGGGCAAAAAGUUAGAAUGAUCACACAUACGGCAAUUAUAGGAAUCAAAAAGUGGGGUACAGAGAGGCAAAACACAGAACAAUGGUGAGUGGCCUGCUGGCUGUCCCAUCCCGGGAUCCGGUGUGAGGUCUUGUCUCUCAGAAGAACCUGGAUGUUAGGCUGGAGGCCAGUACCCUAUACCUUGCUUUAAGGACCUACUAAGUGAAAAUUCAGAAUUACAACUCAGAUUAGAUGCAGAAAUUUGCCCAUGGAAGUUGAGUGGUUUUUCUUGAAUCACACAUCUAGCUGGUGGCAGAGCCAGGAUAAUAAUGAAGGACCUUGAAUUUCACUCAGUGCAGUGAGGUUUUUUCCAUUACUCCAUUAGUAAUUGCCUUUACUAAUAUGUGCAUUGUGAAGGUAUCUUUAAAAUAGCAGUCAAUGUUUGAUAAAUAUAUGACUUACCAACAGUUGAUUUAUAUGCAGUUUUUAAAGGAACAUACUUAUAGCAUAAAAGUAGGACAAAGGUUUUUCCAAGUUUCCUUCGGGUGUCCAGGCCCUUUGGUCCUUCUAUCAGAGGUGUGUGUUCAUAAGCAAAUGCUGGCAUUCUGUCAUUCAUUUUUUCCAGAUGUCCUUCUUGAGUAGUGUGUUGGGUUUUAUGUUUUUAAUAUUUCUUAUAUACAUUUUUUUAAAUCUGGACACAUAAAUCCUAAUAAAGUUCUCAACUAUCUCCUCUAUG